UCUCUUUAAAAAUAUCACUUGAAUUUUUCGAGGAAAUGUGUCUCCUUGACAAGGAAGUGUGUCUCCUAGAGAUCUUAAAUUAUGAGUUUUACCAUGGUUUUGAUUACCAAACUUGUGCAACAACAUUGCCUCUUGCAUUUGUAGAAGUGAGAAAUUACGGUCUUUGAUGUUUAGGCUCCAAAAUCCUUGAUCUGAAUGUAACAUGUGUUCCUGUUUCAUACAAAGAAAAAUUGUGAGUUUAAAACAUGGUGGCUGGUUUGUGGCUUUAGCUUUCGCGGCAAUCGCUCUUGUCCCCAUCACAUUUAACCUUGCUUCCAACCAUUAGCAUAUGUCAUCGACUU
rnacentral:lncRNA from 1 species